CUUUCACGCUAUAUGAUACGGAAAAAGGAAAAAGAGUUGUAAGACUAAAGUAUUAUAGUCCAAAAUGCCGACAACAACCAAAAACCACAGAGUGCGGUAUCUACUGCAUGAAGUAUGCUAGGGAUCUCAUUUCACAACAAAGAACCAGAGCAUAUCUAUCGAAUAAUUUCAAUUCAGAUUUACCAUAUACUGACGCUGAACUUAAUGAAGUUCAAGAAGAGUGGGCAAAAUAUAUUCUGCCGCAACUCGCUAAAUGAUGGCAUGCUUGCUUAGUACCUAUGUGAGGGGAUUUAAUCAUUUUUUGAACUUUGUAUUUCUUUUAUUAGAAAUUGUUAGAACUAAUCAAAUACAGAAUCAAUCUAACAAAUUAUAUGUAGUUAAUUUAGCUUUUUGAGGUGCAUACUGUGCUAAAUAUUCAUUUUAUGACAAACUUUUUUGGAACUAUGUAUUUCUUUUAUUUAGAAAGUGUUAGAACUAAUCAAAUGUAAAGUUAA